rnacentral:rRNA from 1 species
CCUACGAGGGGCAGCAGUCGAGAAUCAUUCACAAUGGGGGAAACCCUGAUGGUGCGACGCCGCGUGGGGGAAUGAAGGUCUUCGGAUUGUAAACCCCUGUCAUGUGGGAGCAAAUUAAAAAGCUAGUACCAUAAGAGGAAGAGACGGCUAAUUCUGUGCCAGCAGCCGCGGUAAUACAGCGGUGUUAAGCGUUGUUCGGAAUCACUGGGCGUAAAGCGUGCGGUGGCUGUUUCGUAAGUCGUGUGUGAAAGGCGCGGGCUCAACCCGCGGACGGCACAUGAUACUGGGCGACUUGAGUAAUGGAGGGGGAACCGGAAUUCUCGGUGUAGCAGUGAAAUGCGUAGAUAUCGAGAAGAACACUCGUGGCGAAGGCGGGUUCCUAGACAUUAACUGACGCUGAGGCACGAAGGCCAGGGGAGCGAAAGGGAUUAGAUACCCCAGUAGUC